rnacentral:tRNA from 1 species
CGUCCCCUUCGUCUAGAGGCCCAGGACACCGCCCUUUCACGGCGGUAACAGGGGUUCGAAUCCUGGGGACGCC